CGAUUUAGUAGUAACAACGAAUAGUGAGAAGUCAGCAGAUGUCAUAGUAGGAAACCAUGUUUCCGAAGGAC
rfam:Tetragenococcus muriaticus 3MR10-3 WGS_Sequence300_235, whole genome shotgun sequence.